GGCUCAAUGGCACAGCAGUAGCGCGCUCCGGAUUGUUCUCCCCAGUGUUUGACUAUUCCAGAGAGACCCGGAGUUCAAUCCUCCGUCGAGCUA